rnacentral:rRNA from 1 species
UACGAAGGGUGCAGGCGUUACUCGGAAUUACUGGGCGUAAAGCGUGCGUAGGUGGUUCGUUAAGUCUGAUGUGAAAGCCCUGGGCUCAACCUGGGAAUGGCAUUGGAUACUGGCGACCUAGAGUGCGGUAGAGGGGUGUGGAAUUCCCGGUGUAGCAGUGAAAUGCGUAGAUAUCGGGAGGAACAUCUGUGGCGAAGGCGACACCCUGGACCAGCACUGACACUGAGGCACGAAAGCGUGGGGAGCAAACAGG